rnacentral:rRNA from 1 species
UACAGAGGUCCCAAGCGUUGUUCGGAUUCACUGGGCGUAAAGGGUGCGUAGGCGGUCGGGUAAGUCUGAUGUGAAAAUCUCACAGCUUAACUGUGAAACUGCAUUGGAUACUAUCCGGCUUGAGGAAUGGAGGGGAGACUGGAAUACUUGGUGUAGCAGUGAAAUGCGUAGAUAUCAAGUGGAACACCAGUGGCGAAGGCGAGUCUCUGGACAUUUUCCUGACGCUGAGGCACGAAAGCCAGGGGAGCAAACGGG